rnacentral:rRNA from 1 species
CCCUCAGAUGUUCUGGGCCGCACGCGCGCUACACUGAUGCAUUCAACGAGUUUCUUCCUGGUCCGAGAGGAAUGGGUAACCUUUUGAAAGUGCAUCGUGAUAGGGAUAGACUAUUGCAAUUAUUGGUCUUCAACGAGGAAUUCCUAGUAGACGUAGUUCAUCAGACUGCAUCGAUUACGUCCCUGCCCUUUGUACACACCGCCCGUCGCUCCUACCGAUUGAAUGCUCAGGUGAGCCAUUCGGACUUUCAUCAUGCUGGUUUCCAGUUUUGAUGAAGGAAAGUCUUGCGAACCUUAUCAUUUAGAGGAAGGAGAAGUCGUAACA